CAGUAAUUAAAUAUUUGAUAAUGAUCAUUGUUGAUUAGCGUUCGAACAACCGGCCCCUAGACUGUUAAUGUUGAAAUCUACUAUAAAAUUUUAAUAGUAUACUUUUCUAUCAAUUUUACAAUUGAAUAAACAAUUAUUAUUGAACAAUAAAUUCGUUAUUUGAUGCUUCAGCUUAGAGAUUGGAAACUGAAAUAUUAAAUAAACAUUAUUUUCUUCUUCCUUAAGUACGGUUUAAUAUCAUAUAUCGCUUUCUCUAAAUACCAUUCUCGCAGACUGUGCCCAUUACUAUUCUUAGUAGGUAUCUUAAUUUCGAAGAUGAGCAGAUCUGCAUCUGUUUUGGAAAUGGUCCAUGUUUCUGACCCAAUGCAGGAUGAGUUUUCUAUCUAUUAUUUAUUAUUAGUUAUUUAUCUCUUGAAAAACAUCCUUGGUUGUUUUGUUCUACCUCCAAUAUUGUAUUAUUCUCUAUCUCCACAUUUCAAAAUGACUGCAAUUUAUUUAUAUGAUUUUGUUUACGGGCCCAAGAUUACUUCUUUCACUAUUAGGUUCAAUGUAAGAUCUUUGCUAUGAUAUAGUAUUGUGUUCAAUUCUAUGGACGCCGUUUUAUGCCGUUUGUAUAAAUUUUUUUCUGUUAUUACGAUAUAUUUACGGUCUUUGGUAUAUUAAUUAUUACUCCAGUAUAUAAGGUGUACUACUGCUUAGUUGUUCGUUAAAGAUUACCGUAAUCACUGUGUCAUCGGCAUAUUUUAUGUUGUUGAUUGUUUUACCGUUUAUUAUUAUCAUGUCAGGUCCAGCUGGUAGUGCUUCUUGAAAAACUAAUUCAUUAUAUACAUUGAACAGUAAACAACCAAGUAGCUUUUUGCCUCAUUCCUCUUCAUUAUAUACCUAAAUUUGUGCAAUUUGGUUUCAGUAAAAGUAUGAUAUUAUUCUUAAGUAUAUAGGUACAAGCCUGUUUUUAUUUGUAGAGCAUUUUCGUAACAUUUGUAAUUUAAUUCUAAUUAUAUAAUUGAUAAAAAACCUAUAAUGACAUCAGAAUUUACUUUAAAAACAUUCUUUAUGUUGUUGAUAUUAAUUUGGAAACUAAAAUAGAUAAUAUUUUCAACCCAUUUAUCACUUAAAUCAUUAGCUAAAUAUCAAAUUCAAGUAUAAACAUAAAAAUCAUACAAAAAACAAAAAUCAGUGUGCUCACACGGUAUUAUAUUGUGAGUACAACAAAAAUGUUAAACAGCAAUUGCAAAACAAAUGUCGGAUGGGGAAUAAGCAAUACAUACAAUGUGGAUGCAGUUUACAUAAAAAAUUUUACAUAUGCCAGCUGUGAAAAACAAAAUUGUUUCUGGCAUAUAUCAAAAAAGGAAGUAAAAUAGGAGUACGACCGUUAUAAAAACUAACUUACUUCAGUUUUUUGUUCAAAAAGGGAUCUUUCUUAUCUUCAUCGUCGAUGGUGGGUAAACACAACGAGGAUAAACCUACUUAAGACUGCAGCUAUCUUCAAGACCACAACGGCUACUUGAACACCUUCAAAUGGCAAACAUCUAAGACCUAUUCACAUCAUCUGGAGCCAACAACAUCCACCUUCAUCCUCCACAGCAAGCAAGUCAACAGUGCCAUAAGUAUCAUUUUAUUGUAAAGCUAUAGGCAGGAUUUGCUUGUAUAUUUAAGUAUCAUUUCAUUAUAUUUUUUAUCCUAAAUAAAUAUGAUUAGUUAA
rnacentral:lncRNA from 1 species